rnacentral:rRNA from 1 species
AGUGAACGCUGGCGGUAGGCCUAACACAUGCAAGUCGAACGGCAGCACAGUAAGAGCUUGCUCUUACGGGUGGCGAGUGGCGGACGGGUGAGGAAUACAUCGGAAUCUACUUUUUCGUGGGGGAUAACGUAGGGAAACUUACGCUAAUACCGCAUACGACCUACGGGUGAAAGCAGGGGAUCUUCGGACCUUGCGCGAUUGAAUGAGCCGAUGUCGGAUUAGCUAGUUGGCGGGGUAAAGGCCCACCAAGGCGACAAUCCGUAGCCGGUCUGAGAGGAUGAUCAGCCACACUGGAACUGAGACACGGUCCAGACUCCUACGGGAGGCAGCAGUGGGGAAUAUUGGACAAUGGGCGCAAGCCUGAUCCAGCCAUACCGCGUGGGUGAAGAAGGCCUUCGGGUUGUAAAGCCCUUUUGUUGGGAAAGAAAAGCAGCAGGUUAAUACCCCGCUGUUCUGACGGUACCCAAAGAAUAAGCACCGGCUAACUUCGUG